CAGCCGCCGCGGGAACACGGAGGGGGCUAGCGUUGUUCGGAAUUACUGGGCGUAAAGCGCACGUAGGCGGCUUGGUAAGUUAGAGGUGAAAGCCCGGAGCUCAACUCCGGAAUUGCCUUUAAGACUGCCGAGCUAGCAGGUGAGAGAGGUAAGUGGAAUUCCGAGUGUAGAGGUGAAAUUCGUAGAUAUUCGGAAGAACACUAGUGGCGAAGGCGGCUUACUGGCUCAUACUGGACGCUGAGGUGCGAAAGCGUGGGGAGCAAACAGGAUUAGAUACCGCGUAGUCCCUGUCUCUUAUACA
rnacentral:rRNA from 1 species